GACGAACGCUGGCGGCGUGCCUAAUACAUGCCAGUAGAACGCUGAAGAGAGGAGCUUGCUCUUCUUGGAUGAGUUGCGAACGGGUGAGUAACGCGUAGGUAACCUGCCUUGUAGCGGGGGAUAACUAUUGGAAACGAUAGCUAAUACCGCAUAACAAUGGAUGACACAUGUCAUUUAUUUGAAAGGGGCAAUUGCUCCACUACAAGAUGGACCUGCGUUGUAUUAGCUAGUAGGUGAGGUAAUGGCUCACCUAGGCGACGAUACAUAGCCGACCUGGGAGGGUGAUCGGCCACACUGGGACUGAGACACGGCCCAGACUCCUACGGGAGGCAGCAGUAGGGAAUCUUCGGCAAUGGGGGCAACCCUGACCGAGCAACGCCGCGUGAGUGAAGAAGGUUUUCGGAUCGUAAAGCUCUGUUGUAAGUCAAGAACGGGUGUGAGAGUGGAAAGUUCACACUGUGACGGUAGCUUACCAGAAAGGGACGGCUAACUACGUG
rnacentral:rRNA from 1 species